UCAAGUAGCUGUUUAUGAGAUCGUAUUUUGUGUUUUGCGGAUAAAUUACGAGGAUUUGAUUUGCUAAAUCGAAGUUGAAGUUGAAAAAAGUGUUAUUCAACAUGUCCGUGUAUUGUAUUGUACAGUGUGGAGCCAGAAAGGACAGAAAUCAACCGUAUUUGUCACUUCAUAGGCCAUCUUUCAAUCCAAAAUUGUCGACUGGAUUUACUGAAACAGGUGAUAUUGGAAAACUAAUCCACAGCUGCAACGUCGUCUGUGCUGCCAUUGCCCGUACGUCUGUCUCAUAAGUCAGUACAUGAAAAGUCUGUUCAAGAAGACGCGAUGAAAAAAUUAAAAGAUAGCCAAUUUGAAGAAUAUUAUGGAAGAUCUGCAGAAUAAAAAUCAAAUAAUAAAGGGCAAAGUGUAUUGAUGGAAGAAUUGGCAGGACCGCAAGACUUUUUGAAAAGGCAGGUAAACAAAUUUCAAGGUUUACCUUUGCCAAAGAAGUAUUCCCAAGAAAUAAGAAAGUUUGCUUUAACUUUACAUUUUCUUUCUCCGAAAGCGUAUAAUAAU